rnacentral:lncRNA from 1 species
CAAGCAAGGGAACAAAGAGAAAAAGAGAAGAACAAACCCUAGGAAGGAAAAAUCCAAGAGAAAUUGUUGGAUUUCAAGGAAUCAAGCAAGUAAAGGUAAGAUUUUUUAAUUUUAGCUUGUGAUCUACCUUUCCCAUGCAUUCUUUUUCAUUCUCCAUGGCUGAAAUUCAAGUUUUCAAGAGGGAACCUUUGCUGGCCAAAUCUAGAGAGAGAAGUUUUGGUGAUAAAUUUUGCUAGAUUUCAUAAUAUCUUAGUGUUUUUAGUCAUUUUGUGAUGUUUGAAAGGAAAAACGAGCAAGAAAAUCACAUGUUCUUCAACCACCCUCAUUUGGUCGAAUUUUCUAUAGGGCAUGUUGAUGAUGGAUUUGGUUGUAAAUCAUGUUAUUUAGCUAGGAAUUGAUGAUUUAUGGUAUCAGAUAUCGAAAUCGAAAUGAAUUUCUGUUAUGGUGAAUUAAGUCACAAUUAAGCUCAUUGAGGUACUUUAGUGUAUUUGGAAUAUUGGAAGUGUAAUGAAGAUAUUUGGAGUUGAAUUGGAUGUUUUGGCUAAUUAAACAAGGCAUAGUGCGAGUUAGGUCGAAUGCCAAUUCAGUUCGAUCAUAAUUGAACCCACGUAGAACACCGUCUUUAAGUGAUUCUUCGGACAAUUCUCAUUCAAUGUCAUGUAUUCAAAUAAAACCUGAAAUAGUUUUAUAACAGUUUGACACAAAUAUAUUGAAUUACGUGUUGUGUAUUAUGUAUAGGUGAUGAGCCCUCUGAUAAGGGUAAAGAUAUUGUGCCCAAGGACCGAGAAUAGGAGUACUCCUACCACUCCAAACUCUUGCUAUUGUGAGUAAUCAGAUGUUCAUCUUAAUUAUCUAAAGUGGUUUAUACUUAUUUUAAGAUUUUAAAGAAUAAGGCACUUAAUUUUUCAAAUUAUUGUGUUUAACAUUUUAAAUGUUGGUUAAAUGAAUGAGAUUUAUAAAUUAUUCUGAAACUAAAUGUUGAUUUUUGAAAUAGAGUAAGUGUAGGCUAUACAUUCGUAUUAUAUAUAUAUACUGAUUUGAAUUGAUGGCUUAUGAAAUUGUGGUUUUGUGAAUUAUAUAAAUUGUUUUGUCUUACAUUGACAAGUUGGAUAGUACUAUAUUAGCCAUGUUAUGCUGCUAAAAUUUUAUUGAUUUGGUGGGUUAUGUAUUUAGCUUACUGCAGUGGGCGGGUUUCCGUGGACCAACCUAUUAGAGGGGCACAAAAAUCCCGUUAUAUUUACCUUAGUACGAGAAGCGCGAAGGGUAUCUCCUAAGGUAAGUUUAGAGUUCACUUCACGCCGAACCACCACGUGAGGAUGAAACUCAGCCAACGCUAAAGAAUGGCUAUAUUUUAAAAGUAAAAACAUGGUUUAUGGGUAUAUGUCGUUUUAACAUCCUUGGCAAACUCGGUUGGAUGCCCGAGCCAAGGUGUCACUGAGUACGAGUUUUGGCACAAGCCAAGUUUUUAAGAGAAUUAUAAGCCUUGUUGAUUAUUUUGAUGAAAUGUAAUUGUAUUAUAGGAAUUGAAAUAAGUUUUGAAUGUUAUGAACUAUAUUAUGAUGGGAUGAUUUAAUUGUCUCCAUUUACUCGGCUUUAGAUGUUAUAGAUGAAUUUUGCUUACUCACUGGGUUUGUAAAAACUCACCCCUUCUUUUUAUCUAUUUCAGGCUCAGGACAAUCUGUAGACAGUUGAUUUUGUCGAGGGUUGCUUUUGAAUUUGCAUCCUUAGAAAUCGAAGGUCUAUAGUCUUGUAUAUUUGCGAUUAUUUUGGGACCCACAUGUCAUUGUAGAAUAUUUUGUAUACCUGGCUGCGUGUGCCACUAUAUGUAUGAAUUUAUUUUGCUUUUACACUACAAAAAUUAUUUAUGCAGAG